UCCGAUGUGAUGUUGGUGAGCUCCGGGU
rnacentral:piRNA from 1 species